AGAGAGAGAGAGCGUGGAGGAAACGGGCGAGGGAAGCAGGGAUGGCGAGAGCACAGUCGGGAGGAGACGCUUUAACGCAGAAAGACACUGAGGCAGAGAGAGAGCAAUAGAGAGAUAGAGGGUGUGCACGGUAUGUGGAGGGAGGCGAGCAUCCCGAGCAAGAUGGAGAGAGUGCACAUCAGAGAGGAGGCAGGGGAGAAAAGAAACGCACAAAGAGAGAGAGAACAGGGGAGGCAGAGAGAGGAGGGAAUGAAAGAAGGAAAGAAACUGACUUACCCGGCUACUGGCAUCCUUCACACGCCCGCCUCGCAGACUCCGCACACACACAUAUGCACACGCACCCACCCGGCGAUACAGGCACACGCCGCGCCGCCGCCGAGACUAACCAAAAGCAAAACAACAAAGGAGAAGACUGCCAAAGCCGACUGGGCUGCAGACUGUCUGCUCCGAGAGUCAGUUCUUCCCACGGGCCCCGGGUAGAGAUGGAGGGAGGAGAGAGAAGGGAGGAGGGACGGGCAUGGGGGGGUGAUAGUGAGCCAUGUGGAACAUGUGCAGUGCAUUAAUUUCAAAUGGGAGAGACUUUGUGGAGAAAAUUUGUGGCUUUAAAAAGGCGAAAAUGAGCCGGUUGACUGCACGUUACGUGGCCUGGGAUCAUCCAGAGAGCCGAGAAAGAUGCAGGAUGCAAAGGAAAAGGAAGUCUCUGGCUGAUCGCUGCCUUGAUUAACACUUGUUCCCCCCCCCAUUCCAGGCUUCAGGGCUGGCUGAGCACCAGAAUUAAGAGCGCAGAAGAUGAAUGAGUAUUGAAACAGGCUAGUUGCGACCAUGUGUUCAGUGAUGAGCACUAGUGAUGCCCCGCUCCCAAGCAUGAGACACUAUUUACAUCAUCAUGUUCGAACCAUAAACAGGG
ensembl:lncRNA